GCCCGGGUGGUGAAAUGGCAGACACAGGGGACUUAAAAUCCCCCGGGGCAACCCGUGCGGGUUCGAGUCCCGCCCUGGGCACCA
rnacentral:tRNA from 1 species